UACGUAGGGUGCGAGCGUUAUUCGGAAUUACUGGGCGUAAAGCGCGCGCAGGCGGUUUUGCAAAUCAGAUGUGAAAUCCCCGGGCUUAACCUGGGAAUGGCAUUUGGGACUGCAAGGCUUGAGUGCGGCAGAGGAGACUGGAAUUCCUGGUGUAGCAGUGAAAUGCGUAGAUAUCAGGAGGAACACCGAUGGCGAAGGCAGGUCUCUGGGCUGACACUGACGCUCAUGCACGAAAGCGUGGGGAGCAAACAGG
rnacentral:rRNA from 1 species